AGAACGAACGCUGGCGGCAUGCCUAAUACAUGCAAGUCGAACGAACACUUCGGUGUUAGUGGCGCACGGGUGCGUAACGCGUGGGAAUCUGCCCUUGGGUUCGGAAUAACAGUUGGAAACGACUGCUAAUACCGGAUGAUAUCGAAAGAUCAAAGAUUUAUCGCCCAGGGAUGAGCCCGCGUAGGAUUAGCUAGUUGGUGAGGUAAAGGCUCACCAAGGCGACGAUCCUUAGCUGGUCUGAGAGGAUGAUCAGCCACACGUGGGACUGAGACCACGGCCCAGACCUCCGUACGGGAGGCAGGCAGGUAGGGAAUAGUUGGAC
rnacentral:rRNA from 1 species